CUCUGGUGAGCAGCAUGACACAGGAACUCCAGCUGGCAUGGCCUGGAUUCAUUCCCUGCUGGGUGGUGGUGAUGGUGGCUACUCAGGGCCAGCAGCACUCACGCCUUCAAUCCCAGUGCCCUUGAGCCUCGAAUUGCACUGUGAAUCACUUCCAGGAAAGCCCCCCCAAUGCCUGCCUGAGGCUUUGGGGGACAUCGAGACACAGCCGUGAUGCAGGUCAACAAGCUCGUGCACGUGAUGCCCACCUGAGGUCCUAGCCCAGGGUGGAAGCUCAAUAAAGGCACCUGUUCCCAAUUUUCUUUUCUUUCCCUCUUGACCUCUCCUGGCCCCACAUCCAUGAGUAUCAUGUUUUGACAGGUGUCAGGGGUUAGAAUUUCUUAGGUUAUUGUAACUCUAGCUAUUUGCCAUUUCAUGAGUAGCUGCAAACGUCUAAAAAGUUCUUAUCAGGCCAGAUGCCCCGCAGUUCCUCUUAAGGCCCAGCCAGUGGAAAAGUAUGAAAUGGGAAAAAUUGGUUUUUAUAUCUUGUUCAUUUCUUUUUCCUUUUGUG
rnacentral:lncRNA from 1 species